rnacentral:rRNA from 1 species
UACGUAGGGUCCGAGCGUUGUCCGGAAUUAUUGGGCGUAAAGAGCUCGUAGGCGGUUUGUCGCGUCUGCUGUGAAAUCCCGAGGCUCAACCUCGGGCCUGCAGUGGGUACGGGCAGACUUGGGUGGUGUAGGGGAGACUGGAAUUCCUGGUGUAGCGGUGGAAUGCGCAGAUAUCAGGAGGAACACCGAUGGCGAAGGCAGAUCUCUGGGCCGUAACUGACGCUGAGGAGCGAAAGCAUGGGGAGCGAACAGG